UACGGAGGGUGCAAGCGUUAUCCGGAUUUACUGGGUUUAAAGGGUGCGUAGGUGGGUAGGUAAGUCAGUGGUGAAAUCUUCGAGCUUAACUCGGAAACUGCCAUUGAUACUAUCUGUCUUGAAUACUUUGGAGGUAAGCGGAAUAUGUCAUGUAGCGGUGAAAUGCUUAGAUAUGACAUAGAACACCAAUUGCGAAGGCAGCUUACUACACAGUCAUUGACACUGAGGCACGAAAGCGUGGGGAGCGAACAGG
rnacentral:rRNA from 1 species